rnacentral:rRNA from 1 species
UACGUAGGGCGCAAGCGUUGUCCGGAAUUAUUGGGCGUAAAGAGCUCGUAGGCGGCUCAGUAAGUCGGAUGUGAAAACUCGGGGCUCAACCCGAGACGCCAUCCGAUACUGCUGUGGCUUGAGUCUGGUAGGGGAGACUGGAAUUCCUGGUGUAGCGGUGAAAUGCGCAGAUAUCAGGAGGAACACCGGUGGCGAAGGCGGGUCUCUGGGCCGAUACUGACGCUGAGGAGCGAAAGCGUGGGGGAGCGAACAGG